rnacentral:rRNA from 1 species
UACGUAGGGUGCGAGCGUUGUCCGGAAUUAUUGGGCGUAAAGAGCUUGUAGGCGGUUUGUCGCGUCUGCUGUGAAAUCUCAAGGCUCAACCUUGAGCUUGCAGUGGGUACGGGCAGACUAGAGUGUGGUAGGGGAGACUGGAAUUCCUGGUGUAGCGGUGAAAUGCGCAGAUAUCAGGAAGAACACCCCGUGGCGAAGGCGGCUCUCUGGGACGGUACUGGACGCUGAGACGCGAAAGCGUCGGGGAGCGAACAGG